CCUACGGGCGACUGCAGUCGAGAAUCAUUCACAAUGGGGGAAACCCUGAUGGUGCGACGCCGCGUGGGGGAAUGAAGGUCUUCGGAUUGUAAACCCCUGUCAUGUGGGAGCAAAUUAAAAAGAUAGUACCACAAGAGGAAGAGACGGCUAACUCUGUGCCAGCAGCCGCGGUAAUACAGAGGUCUCAAGCGUUGUUCGGAAUCACUGGGCGUAAAGCGUGCGUAGGCUGUUUCGUAAGUCGUGUGUGAAAGGCGCGGGCUCAACCCGCGGACGGCACAUGAUACUGCGAGACUAGAGUAAUGGAGGGGGAACCGGAAUUCUCGGUGUAGCAGUGAAAUGCGUAGAUAUCGAGAGGAACACUCGUGGCGAAGGCGGGUUGCUGGACAUUAACUGACGCUGAGGCACGAAGGCCAGGGGAGCGAAAGGGAUUAGAUACCCCGGUAGUC
rnacentral:rRNA from 1 species